rnacentral:rRNA from 1 species
UACGUAGGCAGCGAGCGUUGUUCGGAGUUACUGGGCGUAAAGGGUGCGUAGGCGGUUGUUUAAGUUUGGUGUGAAAUCUCCCGGCUCAACCGGGAGGGUGCGCCGAAUACUGAAUGACUAGAGUGCGGGAGAGGAUAGUGGAAUUCCUGGUGUAGCGGUGAAAUGCGUAGAUAUCAGGAGGAACACCGGUGGUGUAGACGGCUAUCUGACCGUAACUGACGCUGAGGCACGAAAGCGUGGGUAGCAAACAGG